rnacentral:rRNA from 1 species
UUAAGCAUAUCAAUAAGCGGAGGAAAAGAAACUAACAAGGAUUCCCCUAGUAGCGGCGAGUGAAGCGGGAAGAGCUCAAAUUUGUAAUCUGGCGUCUUUCAGGCGUCCGAGUUGUAAUCUAUAGAAGUGUUUUCCGUGCUGGACCAUGUCCAAGUCCCUUGGAACAGGGUAUCAAAGAGGGUGACAAUCCCGUACUUGACAUGACCACCAGUGCUCUGUGAUACACUUUCUACGAGUCGAGUUGUUUGGGAAUGCAGCUCAAAAUGGGUGGUAAAUUCCAUCUAAAGCUAAAUAUUGGCGAGAGACCGAUAGCGAACAAGUACCGUGAGGGAAAGAUGAAAAGCACUUUGGAAAGAGAGUUAAACAGUACGUGAAAUUGUUGAAAGGGAAACGAUUGAAGUCAGUCGUGUUCAUUGGACUCAGCCGGUUUUCGGUGUAUUUCCUUUGAACGGGUCAACAUCAGUUUUGUCCGGUGGAUAAAGGCAGGAAGAAAGUGGCUCCCUCGGGAGUGUUAUAGCUUUCUGUCACAUACACUGGAGGAGACUGAGGACUGCAGCUCGCCUUUUGGCCGGGGUUCGCCCACGUCGAGGCUUAGGAUGUUGACUUAAAUGGCUUUAAACGACCCGUCUG